rnacentral:lncRNA from 1 species
AGAGCCGCGCUGCUCGGCUCCCAGGCCGGGGACACGGCCCGGUGUUAAGCGGAGGGUGCCCGACCGCGGGAAUUCCUAAGGCCACGCGCACCUCCAAGGCCACCGCCGCACACAGCUUCGGAGUGCACAGUGCACACGCCCAGGCACAGGCAGCCGGCCCGAGAAAUUGUGAAUGUCUUGGCUUUGAGUUUAUCUGCGUAUCCUGGCGAAGUUUGGAUGCAGAGAACUUGGAGCUGUUGUUUUCUACCAGACACUAGGAUCCCUGAGAGAGAUCCAAAGGGAGAUAUCGAUCCAUGGAAGAUGGUUGCUCUCGGAAAAUGCUGAGAAGUUUGCAAAAGGAAUGGAAGCAGAGUUAACCAAUGUAUCAGGAAGCUUACACUUUCUCCUUUUAAACUGCUGUGCUGGUCUAUUAAGACAUGCCUAAUACCCAAAGCUGAGGGGCAAAAGGGGAGAGAAUGAAGUUUAUGCGUCUGUGUCAUAGAGAAAAGCUGCCAAAAUGUGAUUAAGCUUUUUGAGUUAGAACUUAACAAAAUGCCUUUGCUACUGGUUUCCAUGGUUGUCCAGUGAAAAGAGUGAAUACAUUUAUAGGAAACACAAAAGGUGGUUUCAGAGCUUGGGCAGGAUGGAAGACGUAUUUCUUCUACUAUUCGCUCCUGUGAGUUUAGUGCCA